rnacentral:misc_RNA from 1 species
UUAAGUUCAGCGGGUAAUCCUGCCUGAUUUGAGAUCUAAUCUAAAGGUAGACUUUUCAAUUAGAAGCUUCCUUAACUAAGUUGGCUCAAUGCAGAACAUUGAAUCCUUAGCGAAUAGUCUAUUACGCCAAGUCAAUCCAAACUUGUAUUAGGGAUGCUGAUGUAUUACGAACGAGCUAGGCACGAAGCCAGCAGCGCUCAGAAUCCAAACACCAGCUGUUUACAAGAAACAGUUGGGUUGAAGAAUUCAUGACACUCAAACAGACAUGCUCUCCGGAAUACCAGAGAGCGCAAGAUGCGUUCAAAGAUUCGAUGAUUCACUGAAUUCUGCAAUUCACAUUACGUAUCGCAUUUCGCUGCGUUCUUCAUCGAUGCGAGAGCCAAGAGAUCCGUUGUUGAAAGUUUUUAUUGUUAUAAAAAUUUUACAUUCAUAGACUAGUGUUUAUAAAGUGAAAUGGCUCACAAUUCGAAAAUUGCUCGCCAUUAAAUACAGAUGCACAGGGUUAGAUGUGAGAAGGUCGGGUUCCAAGUUAAAUUGGACACCCUAUUUAUUCACUAAUGAUCCUUCCGCAGGUUCACCUACGGAAACCUUGUUGCGACUU